rnacentral:rRNA from 1 species
AGAGUUUGAUCAUGGCUCAGGUUGAACGCUGGCGGCGUGCCUAACACAUGCAAGUCGUCGGUAACAGGCGUAGCAAUACGUGCUGACGAGCGGCGAACGGGUGCGUAAUACAUGGGCAUCUGCCCUUUAGUGGGGAAUAGCCCGGCGAAAGCCGGGCUAACGCCGCAUAAGAUCUCCGGAUGAAAGCGGGGGACCGUAAGGCCUCGCGCUGGUGGAUGAGCCCAUGUCGGAUUAGCUAGUUGGUGAGGUAAUGGCUCACCAAGGCGACGAUCCGUAGCUGGUCUGAGAGGACGGCCAGCCACACUGGGACUGAGACACGGCCCAGACUCCUACGGGAGGCAGCAGUGGGGAAUAUUGGNCAACGGGGGAAACCCUGAU